rnacentral:rRNA from 1 species
AGCAGUAGCCGCGGGAAUACGUAGGUGGCAAGCGUUGUCCGGAAUUAUUAGGCGUAAAGCGCGCGCAGGUGGUUUAAUAAGUCUGAUGUGAAAGCCCACGGCUCAACCGUGGAGGGUCAUUGGAAACUGUUAAACUUGAGUGCAGGAGAGAAAAGUGGAAUUCCUAGUGUGGCGGUGAAAUGCGUAGAGAUUAGGAGGAACACCAGCGGCGAAGGCGGCUUUUUGGCCUGUAACUGACACUGAGGCGCGAAAGCGUGGGGAGCAAACAGGAUUAGAGACCCGCGUAGUCCCUGUCUCUUAUAC